GGAGGGCUGGCUGAGCGGCCGAAAGCGACGGUCUUGAAAACCGUUAGCGCGGUGACCCCGUGCUCAAGGGUUCGAAUCCCUUGCCCUCCGCCC
rnacentral:tRNA from 1 species